CCUACGGGUGGCAGCAGUCGAGAAUCAUUCACAAUGGGGGAAACCCUGAUGCUGCGACGCCGCGUGGGGGAAUGAAGGUCUUCGGAUUGUAAACCCCUGUCAUGUGGGAGCAAAUUAAAAAGAUAGUACCACAAGAGGAAGAGACGGCUAACUCUGUGCCAGCAGCGGCGGUAAUACAGAGGUGUCAAGCGUUGUUCGGAAUCACGGGGCGUAAAGGGGGAGUAGGCGGUUUCGUAAGUCGGUGGUGAAAGGCGCGGGCCCAACCCGCGGACUGCACAUGAUACUGCGAGACUGGAGUAGUGGAGGGGGAACCGGAAUUCGCGGUGUAGCAGUGAAAUGCGUAGAUAUCGGGAGGAACACUAGUGGCGAAGGCGGGUUACUGGACAGUAACUGACGCUGAGGCACGAAGGCCAGGGGAGCGAAAGGGAUUAGAUACCCCAGUAGUC
rnacentral:rRNA from 1 species